rnacentral:rRNA from 1 species
UACGUAGGUGGCAAGCGUUAUCCGGAAUUAUUGGGCGUAAAGAGCGCGCAGGUGGUUAAUUAAGUCUGAUGUGAAAGCCCACGGCUUAACCGUGGAGGGUCAUUGGAAACUGAUUAACUUGAGUGCAGAAGAGGGAAGUGGAAUUCCAUGUGUAGCGGUGAAAUGCGUAGAGAUAUGGAGGAACACCAGCGGUGUAGACGGCUUUCUGGACCAUUGCUGACGCUGAGACACGAAAGCGUGGGUAGCAAACAGG